rnacentral:rRNA from 1 species
GACGAACGCUGGCGGCGUGCUUAACACAUGCAAGUCGAACGGAAAGGCCCCGCCUUUGUGGGGUGCUCGAGUGGCGAACGGGUGAGUAACACGUGAGUAACCUGCCCUUGACUUUGGGAUAACUUCAGGAAACUGGGGCUAAUACCGGAUAGGAGAUCCUCCUGCAUGGUGGGGGUUGGAAAGUUUCGGCGGUUGGGGAUGGACUCGCGGCUUAUCAGCUUGUUGGUGGGGUAGUGGCUUACCAAGGCUUCGACGGGUAGCCGGCCUGAGAGGGUGACCGGCCACAUUGGGACUGAGAUACGGCCCAGACUCCUACGGGAGGCAGCAGUGGGGAAUAUUGCACAAUGGGCGGAAGCCUGAUGCAGCAACGCCGCGUGCGGGAUGACGGCCUUCGGGUUGUAAACCGCUUUCGCCUGGGACGAAGCGUGAGUGACGGUAAUGGGUAAAGAAGCACCGGCUAACUACGUG